rnacentral:pre_miRNA from 14 species
ACACCGGUCCUGGACGAGCCCCCAAAUGAAAGAUCCCCGAAGAGAGACCCUUAUUCAAGUCUGGGGAAAUCACGGACCCCAGACACAGAGAGACCA